rnacentral:rRNA from 1 species
AGAACGAACGCUGGCGGCAUGCCUAAUACAUGCAAGUCGAACGAGACCUUCGGGUCUAGUGGCGCACGGGUGCGUAACGCGUGGGAAUCUACCCUUGGGUUCGGAAUAACAGUUGGAAACGACUGCUAAUACCGGAUGAUGACGAAAGUCCAAAGAUUUAUCGCCCAGGGAUGAGCCCGCGUAGGAUUAGCUAGUUGGUGAGGUAAGGCUCACCAAGGCUACGAUCCUUAGCUGGUCUGAGAGGAUGAUCAGCCACACUGGGACUGAGACACGGCCCAGACUCCUACGGGAGGCAGCAGUAGGGAAUAUUGGACAAGUGGGGGCAACCCGUGAUCCAGCAAUGCCGCGUGAGUGAUGAAGGUCCGUUAGGUUAGUAA